GAGGAGACGAGAAGCAAAACAGCGUUAUCAGCCAUAGAAUAGAUAGGGCGGGGAGAAGUGAACAAGUGGUGUCGUGACGUAAAAUUAACCCUUCCUGCUACACGAGGUUUAAUGGCUCCUUUUAAUUAGUGGUUUUAUUCAAAAUAAGGGAAAUUCACAAAGUAUUUUAAUAUACAUACAACUUGUGCAAAUCUAAUCUCAGCCGAAUUUUAUGUAUUUCAGAAAUUAACAACAAUGAACAACACACUUUUAAAAUAUGCAAAAAUGGUACCUCUGCGCUGUGUGCGUCAGUACUUCCUGUCUUCAUAACUGUCAGUGUGAGCUGCCGAGGCGCCACAAAUCAGAUGAUGGAGUGUCUGUGGCGACGCCUCCACAUCCUGCUGCAGGUCUCCUUCUGGGUCUGUUUCGUCACAGGUACUAUAGCCUACUUCAAAACUGUCAAAUUGAUGAAUUAUUGAAGUUCACAAGAGGUUGUUUUACUGAAUCAGGUGAAGAAUUAAGCAUAAUUUGAAACAGUAUUUCAGUGUGAGUGGUACAGUAAAAUCGAGAAAUAUACAACAGAUGUGUUAGCAUGAAAUGAACAUGAUUUUGGCUUACAUGAAUGUUUACUGUCUUCCUAUGUGAUUCUCUUCAAAGGUUCAAAUGUAGAAUGGAGACGGGUUGGGGAAAAGAUAGAAAUAACUUGCUCCACUGAUAAACUAAAUCAAAAUGCAGUGUAUCUUUAUAAGAGCUACCACCAACGCCAGUCGGUGUUCUAUCUCCUUAAAGAGGGGGUUCCGAGUCGCACGGUAGCCUACAAGGACAAGGUUGAAGUUACAGGCUUCAACAAGCUGAGAGCCACAAUUAGCAACCUAACCGUAAAUGACACUGGAGUUUUCUGGUGCCAGUACUUGAGACAUGAUGGACCAACAAACCAUGAAACUGAAAACAAAGAGGGUGAAACAUUGUUGGUGGUCAAUGGGCCGGAGAAGGUGUGCCCCACACAUGGGCCAUACGCAACCACCAGCACAGAGGAGUCCAGUCAGACCUUGUGGAUCGUGGGUGCUGUCACCGUCUGCUCACUGGUUCUGCUGGUGCUCAUUAUCCUGCUCAUCUCGGUGAAGAGGUGCAAUGGAAAGAACAGGUGUCAUCCCCAGUCUGCCGUUGGACCCCCAGCACAUUGCCCUGAUUCUGUUUAUGAGCAGAUGAGGCCCCAGAGGGCCACCUCUAUGUCUCACUCCUCUGCCCAGGUACUCAACAACUCUGCCUACUUGCUUCACCCAAAUAACCCACAUCCUACCACCCCCCUUCAGUAAGAAUCAACACUGGCACGCCAGCUUCAUAUUUUCAUUUGACAAGUGCACUGAAAUUCAUUAGCCUGUGUGUACAAACUUGCUUGCUUGAAAAAUUAAACCGGUUUGAAUUUAUUUAAUUUAUGUUUUGAAUGAUGUUUAAAUCCAAUGUGUGAAGCAUUUUGACGUAUCAUUCACUCGUGUAACACAAACAUUUUGGUCAUUGAGAUCGAAUGCAGCAUCAGAUUGUGAAAUGUUCGUUUAAGACCGUAGUGAUCCAUGGAGCAAAGGGUCAUGUAGUUAUUAACCUUUCAUAGGAAUGAAUAUACUCAGCCAAUUCUCCUUUGGCUGUCUUUCCAGAAACUGCUUUCUUUUUAUACAGGGUAGAUCAAACAAAACUAACAUACAGUACUUCAUCUGUGUGUACCUGUAACAUAUAUGAGGUAGUUGUAAGAGGUUUGCCACUUUAUAAUACAAAAGUGAUUUUAAUAUGCACAAAAUGUAAUAUGAUCAGAUGUAUAUAACUGUUAUGCACCAA
rnacentral:lncRNA from 1 species